rnacentral:rRNA from 1 species
CACCUCCCAUCCGUGUCUAUCUGUACCCUGUUGCUUCGGCGUGGCUACGGCCCGCCGAAGACUAACAUUUGAACACUGUCUGAAGUUUGCAGUCUGAGUUUUUAGUUAAACAAUAAUUAAAACUUUCAACAACGGAUCUCUUGGUUCCGGCAUCGAUGAAGAACGCAGCGAAAUGCGAUAAUUAAUGUGAAUUGCAGAAUUCAGUGAAUCAUCGAGUCUUUGAACGCACAUUGCGCCCCCUGGUAUUCCGGGGGGCAUGCCUGUCCGAGCGUCAUUGCUGCCCUCAAGCACGGCUUGUGUGUUGGGCUUCCGUCCCUGGUAACGGGGACGGGCCCAAAAGGCAGUGGCGGCACCAUGUCUGGUCCUCGAGCGUAUGGGGCUUUGUCACCCGCUCCCGUAGGUCCAGCUGGCAGCUAGCCUCGCAACCAAUCUUUUUAACCAGGUUGACCUCGGAUCAGGUAGGGAUACCCGCUGAACUUAAGCAUAUCA